UGUAUAUAUGUUUAUAAUCAGCCUCUCAUAUGUGUAUUUAUAUAUAGUCAAAACUAUUAGAUUUUAUGUUCAUUGUCCAAAGUGACGCGGGUGAAUGGUCCUGAAAACAGUCAAAAAUACCAAGUAAUCUAAUCUUUGCAAAUUCCUCCCAGUCCUUCAGUUUGAAAUAACUAACUCAAGCAAAGAAAUUGAACCAGAUUCCAACAACGAUGAAUCGGUGGAGAUGCGUUUUUAAAAACUAACAAUCAAUCUCCUAUGAUACUCUGAAUUCUUUUUUUUUUUUGAGGCUGAAAGCUUUAUUGGUGAUGACAGCUGACAGACAUUCCUUACAACAUCAUGGACUUGGAAAGUGGUUCACAUAUUUUGGCACUUCAUUUUCAAGAGGAACUGGAGUAAGUUCUUGCCAACAUUCCACAAAAUUACACCUUUAAAAGGCUUUUUUGAUGUCUCCACUCUUGCUCCAAUAUUCCUGGAAAAUCCUCGAGGAACCUGAGAUCUUGCCUUCUGAGUUGGGGAGAGGAGGAGCCAGCCAGGACCCUGAAGAAGUACCCAGGUGAAGAGUAACCCAAGAGCCUCCUGGAAGUGUGUGCAGGGAGUCAGCGGCCUUCUGCAAAGAGUCUCUGCAGAAGGCCAGAUGCUCCAGAUAACAAUGGGUGUACCCUGGGGCAUGGAAGUGAUUCUUAUUGGGGCUAAGAUCAUGGGUCUGGGAACAUACCUAGAUUCAUGGUUGUCUGGAGCCAAACUGGACCAUGACCCUUCAGGGUUGUUGAUAGUGAAGAGAACCAGCACCAUGGGAAAAAAAGUAUCUCUUCAGAUCCUGACCUUCCGGGACUGAAAGAUGCCAUCACAUACAAUGUUCUGCUCUGCAAUCCAGCCAGCCUCUGAUACUGUUUUCAGGACCUAUGAGUCGACAUCUUCUAAUGCUCCUUCCAAGAGAUAAUGUCUCAAUAGAAGAACAGGAAACCACAGCUUCCAGGUCUGCCUCAGACAGUCUGUAACAUGGGAUCUGUCACUCAGCUCUGCCUCACAGUCACAUGCCCAAUUCAAGACAGCUCAGGCCUGGGGGCAGGGGCAGAAGAUGGGGGUCCCUACUUCUUGCUCAUCUCAUGGACAGCAGCACAGCCCUAGAUGCCAGACUAUAAG
rnacentral:lncRNA from 1 species